rnacentral:misc_RNA from 1 species
CCACGUUCCUGGCCAUCCCAAACAGCAGCAGAGACAUGCUUGUCUUGAUCAUACAGAACAGAGCCAUCAAUUGGUCCAGGAUUGGCAUCCAUUCAAGGAUUACAGAUUAAAAGAGCAAAACGACGACGGAAGUAAUCUGAAUUCACCGUGAACGAGAUCAGCAAAAACCUCAAAACGACUGGUACAAGGUCGUAGCGACGUGCACUGC